UGAAAAUAAUGGGAAAGGGCUGCCCAGAGCUCUGCAUUGUCCUCAAGAUAUCUGCUCACGAGUGUGGCUGUGUCCAACCAAGUUAAUGCUGAGGAAAUUUUGGGUUCCUGGACCCUACAAUUUUACCACAAAGCAACCAAGUUCCAGCAGAAAUGUGAGCCCUUUGCCAGAAAGACAAGCAUGGCUACCCCAAUGACUGCUGGAGGCAUCCCUGAAGAUAUCCAGGAGACUAGAAAUGGCUGCAACCUCUAUACAAGGUUCAUUUAUUUAUUUUAAAGUCCUUAUCAUAAACACAGAUUAACAGCCAAACUAACAAGCCAAGAAAACACAUAGACAAUUAUACCAAAUCAAGGUACACAUAUUUUUCUCUUUUUUCCUAUUGUCAUUUAUUUUG
rnacentral:lncRNA from 1 species